GAUGAACGCUGGCGGCGUGCCUAAUACAUGCAAGUCGAGCGGCAGCGCGAGUAGUUUACUACUUGGCGGCGAGCGGCGGACGGCUGAGUAACGCGUAGGAACAUACCCCAAACUGAGGGAUAAGCACCAGAAAUGGUGUCUAAUACCGCAUGUGCUCUAAGGAGUAAAGCUUCGGCGGUUUGGGAAUGGCCUGCGUUAGAUUAGCUUGUUGGUGAGGUAAAAGCUCACCAAGGCGACGAUCUAUAGCUGGUCUGAGAGGAUGAUCAGCCAGACUGGGACUGAGACACGGCCCAGACUCCUACGGGAGGCAGCAGUAGGGAAUUUUCCACAAUGGGCGAAAGCCUGAUGGAGCAACGCCGCGUGCAGGAUGAAUGCCUCGGUUGUAACUAGCUUUAUUAUGUGACGAUUAU
rnacentral:rRNA from 1 species